rnacentral:misc_RNA from 1 species
AAGUCGUAACAAGGUUUCUGUAGGUGAACCUGCAGAAGGAUCAUUAGUGAAGAUUUGGGCAGGCCAUACGGACGCCACAAAGUGUCCCUGGCCGCCUACACCCACUAUACAUCCACAAACCCGUGUGCACUGUCCUUGGAAAGGGCAUUUGGAGAGAAAAAGAAAGAGAAGCGAGAGCAGUGCGAUCCGUCGCGUUGGGCGUUUUCUCUGACUUGGUCUCUCUGAGGCCCUUUCCUUGCUACAAACUCGAAUGGUUAGUAUGAACGUGGAACUUGGUUGGACCGUCACUGGCCAACAAACUAUACACAACUUUCGACAACGGAUCUCUUGGUUCUC